rnacentral:misc_RNA from 1 species
UUUCCGUAGGUGAACCUGCGGAAGGAUCAUUAUCGAGUUUUGACUGGGUUUUAGCUGCCUUCCGAGGCAUGUACACGCCCUGCUCAUCCACUCUACACCUGUGCACUUACUGUGGGUAUCAGAUCGUGAAGCGUGCUCUUUUACCGGAGCUUGUGAAGCGUGUCUGUGCCUGCGUUUAUCACAAACACUAUAAAGUAUCAGAAUGUGUAUUACGAUGUAACGCAUCUAUAUACAACUUUCAGCAACGGAUCUCUUGGCUCUC